rnacentral:miRNA from 1 species
UUUGACGAAGACAGAAGGAGCU